rnacentral:pre_miRNA from 1 species
CAAGUACUCCCUCCGUCCGGAAUUACUUGUCAUGAAAAUGGAUGUGUCUAGAACUAAAAUACAUCUAGAUACAUCCAUUUCAAUGACAAGUAUUUUCAGACGGAGGGAGUACAAG